rnacentral:rRNA from 1 species
AUUGAACGCUGGCGGCAGGCCUAACACAUGCAAGUCGAACGAGUGGCGGACGGGUGAGUAAUAUCUGGGAAACUGCCCGAUGGAGGGGGAUAACUAUUGGAAAAGGUAGCUAAUACCGCAUACCCUCGGAUGUGCCCAGAUGGGAUAGGCUUGUAGGUGGGGUAACGGCUCACCUAGGCGACGAUCCCUAGCUGGUCUGAGAGGAUGAGCAGCCAAACUGGAACUGAGAAACGGUCCAGACUCCUACGGGAGGCAGAAGUGGGGAAUAUUGGACAAUGUGCGCAAGCCUGAUGCAGCCAUGCCGCGUGUAUGAAGAAGGCCUUCGGGUUGUAAAGUACUUUCAGCGGGGAGGCGUUACCCGCAGAAGAAGCACCGGCUAACUCCGUGCCAGCCGCCGCGGUAAUAC